CUAAUGCCUUAUGGGAAUUUUACAUUGGGUGACCCUCAGAGUUAGCUAACUAUGUUCGCGGUUUGUCACGUAUUUGAACAGUCAUGGCGGAUUAUUUAUGACGCACGAGUGUUGUGCGCAUAAAAAGUGCAUUUACAGCGAUUUUAUUAGCAUCUGCAGCUAGAUUUUACAAGGAAUUUAUUAAGAAAUAAUCCAGCUGAGCAGGCCGGAACGGACUGGACAGCUUAUGUGGUGCUCUCCAGCUGGGGAAAGAUGUAGAAAUUGUAUUUCUUUUGUAAAAGAAUUGUAAAUAAAUAUAAAUUAAACCAA